rnacentral:misc_RNA from 1 species
GAUGAAGAACGCAGCGAAAUGCGAUAAGUAAUGUGAAUUGCAGAAUUCAGUGAAUCAUCGAAUCUUUGAACGCAUCUUGCGCUCCUUGGUAUUCCUUGGGGCAUGCCUGUUUGAGUAUCAUGAGCAAAUCUCAAAGUCAAUUCCUUUUGUUGAUUCAAUUGGUUUUGCUUUGGACUUGGAGGCCUUGCAGAUUUCACAGUCUGCUCCUCUUAAAUGCAUUAGCUGGAUCUCAGUAAUUAUGCUUGGUUCCACUCGGCGUGAUAAGUAUCACUCGCUGAGGACACUGUUAAAAAGGUGGCCAGGAAAAUACUGAUUGAACCGCUUCUAACGGUCUAUUAAGUUAGACAAUUACCCUUAAGUUUGAUCUCAAAUCAGGUAGGACUACCCGCUGAACUUAAGCAUAUCAAUAAGCGGAGGA